CUCAACCAGUAGACUGCGCUUGAAACUGGCGGGCUAGAGAUCAGGAGAGGAAAGUGGAAUUCCUAGUGUAGCGGUGAAAUGCGUAGAUAUUAGGAAGAACAUCGAUGGCGAAGGCAGCUUUCUGGCCUGACACUGACGCUGAGGCGCGAAAGCGUGGGGAGCAAACAGGAUUAGAUACCCUGGUAGUCCACGCCGUAAACGAUGGAUACUAGGUGUAGGGGGUUCGAUUCCCUCUGUGCCGCAGUUAACGCAAUAAGUAUCCCGCCUGGGGAGUACGGUCGCAAGAUUGAAACUCAAAGGAAUUGACGGGGGCCCGCACAAGCGGUGGAGUAUGUGGUUUAAUUCGAUGCAACGCGAAGAACCUUACCAAGGCUUGACAUCCCAUGACAGCUCAUGAAAGUGAGUUUUCCCUUAGGGGACAU
rnacentral:rRNA from 1 species